rnacentral:rRNA from 1 species
CACGCCGUAAACGAUGAGUACUAGCUGUCGGAGGUUACCCCCUUCGGUGGCGCAGCUAACGCAUUAAGUACUCCGCCUGGGAAGUACGCUCGCAAGAGUGAAACUCAAAGGAAUUGACGG